rnacentral:rRNA from 1 species
ACGGAGGGUGCAAGCGUUGUUCGGAAUCACUGGGCGUAAAGGGCGCGUAGGCGGUUUGAUAAGUCAGAUGUGAAAGCCCACGGCUUAACUGUGGAAGUGCAUUUGAAACUGUCAGACUUGAGUAUCAGAGGGGAGAAUGGAAUUCCCGGUGUAGCGGUGAAAUGCGUAGAUAUCGGGAGGAAUACCGAUGGCGAAGGCGACUACCUGGCCCAAUACUGACGCUGAUGCGCGAAAGCGUGGGGAGCAAACAG